UGCCAUUGCCCAUUGGAAUGUGGAUGAAGUUGUGUCUGAUCCAGCAACAAAUAGAACCUAUCAGCAAACAUAACCAUUAAAAUCUUAAGCAAAUUGAAAGCCUCAAGUGACUGAGACAGUAAGUAAUUUGCAUUUUUGAAUAUGCUGUACCACUUUCAGAUAUCUGUAUUUGUGUGUGCUUGGAAUUUAUUAAUGGGCAAAGCAUUGUUUAUACUUUAUACCAGAAGAAACAAAAAACAAAAAAUAUCAAACAGUUUGAAGAAGAUUAUGGCACUGACCAGUAACAGAUGAUAGAUCUCUUUUUUGUUGAUCACCUCACUGUUUUCCUCAGUAAUGUUGAGAAGGGUAUCUAACAAAUCAUCUUUUGUUGUAGAACCAGGCAAUUCUCUUAGCUUCAACCUUUGGUUGACUAUGUUGUCAAGCAGAUCCAAAAUCUUCCCAAAGUACCCUGUCAUCCUCUGCCUUCUGCCAUGGAGAUCAAUCUUCCUAAGCACAGGAAAAU
rnacentral:lncRNA from 1 species